rnacentral:rRNA from 1 species
UGGUUCUCCCCGAAAUAGCUUUAGGGCUAGCGUCGAGGUAAGUUGCGUGAAGGUAGAGCACUGAAUAUGUGAUGGCCCCAUCUCGGGGUACUGAGCAUAAUCAAACUGCGAAUGUCACGCCAACAUGCUCGGCAGUCAGACAGCGGGUGAUAAGGUCCGUUGUCAAGAGGGAAACAGCCCAGACCAUCAGCUAAGGUCCCAAAAUACAGGCUAAGUGGAAAAGGAUGUGGGGAUGCCCAGACAACUAGGAGGUUGGCUCAGAAGCAGCCAUCCUUUAAAGAGUGCGUAACAGCUCACUAGUCGAAUGACUCUGCGCCGAUAAUUUACCGGGGCUAAGCAUACUACCGAAGCUAUGGAUCCCAAGGGAUGGUAGGGGAGCGUUCCAUGAACGGAGAAGUACGACCGAAAGGACGUGUGGAGAUCAUGGAAGAGAGAAUGCCGGUGUGAGUAGCGGAACGUGGGUGAGAAUCCCACGCACCGAAAACCCAAGGUUUCCAGAGGAAGGUUCGUCCGCUCUGGGUAAGUCGGGACCUAAGGCGAGGCCGAAAGGCGUAGUCGAUGGACAACAGGUAGAGAUUCCUGUACCCGUAUAUAUGUGAAGGAAUGACGGAGAGAGGAAGCUGCAGCCAGCGGCUGGAAGAGCUGGUGCAAGCGAGAUAUCGGGAUGGCAGGCAAAUCCACCAUCCGAAACGAGAAGGCGUGAAGCGUACGGAAAGCUACGGCGAGUACGGAAGGCAGUGGAGGAACUUCCAAGAAAAGUUUCUAACGUUAAGUAUAUAUGGCCCGUACCGAAAAUGGACACACAUGGGUGAGGAGAGAAUCCUAAGGUGAGCGAGAGAACUAUAGCUAAGGAACUCGGCAAAAUGACUCCGUAACUUAGGGAGAAGGAGUGCUCAUAGAGAUAUGAGCCGCAGUGAAACGGCCCAAGCGACUGUUUACCAAAAACACAGCUCUCUGCUAAGCCGCAAGGCGAAGUAUAGGGGGUGACGCCUGCCCGGUGCUGGAAGGUUAAGGGGAGGGGUUAACGCAAGUGAAGCCCUGAACUGAAGCCCCAGUAAACGGCGGCCGUAACUAUAACGGUCCUAAGGUAGCGAAAUUCCUUGUCAGGUAAGUUCUGACCCGCACGAAAGGCGUAACGAUUUGGGCGCUGUCUCAGCUGUAGACUCGGUGAAGUCUUAGUACCUGUGAAGAUGCAGGUUACCCGCGACUAGACGGAAAGACCCCAUGGAGCUUCACUGCAGGUUGAUAUUGGGAUUUGAUGCAGCAUGUACAGGAUAGGUAGGAGGCAAAGAGAUGGAUACGCCAGUAUUCAAGGAGCCGCUGUUGGGAUACUACCCCUGUUGUAUUGGAUUUCUAACCGGACGACGUAGAGCCGUUGACGGGACAGUGUCAGGCGGGCAGUUUGACUGGGGCGGUCGCCUCCCAAAGA